AUGAAGAGAAGAAUAAUGUCUGUAUGUGGGAUGACGGGACCAGGGCUUGGUCUGUCUGUGUUCCUGUUGGCUCUGCUUCAUCUUCAAUGCUCAGCCCAGAAAAACUACACUACGCUACCAAAUAACAUAACAGUGACUGUUGGCAAGCCUGCUGCCUUCCAGUGUGGUGUGUCCCCUCCUCCUAGACAACUCAACUUCACCCUCUAUGGUAGCCAUGGAAACAGAACCCUUAUCUGCCCAGGAGACCACACUGAGUACCUGGCUGCCCAGUCAAUAAAAGGGUACUGUGAUAACACAGGUAAGGAGCUCUUUGCAAUAUGGCUUAUCAGUGGGACGUCCCGCUCUGACAACAACACACGUGUGGUAUGUCAGAGCUCAGAGCGACCACUAGUGGAUGGAUACCUCGGGGUGUACGAGGACGGCAGUUACUUUGCCACCCUCAUUGGCUGCGUCAUUGGUGGUUUCUUUGGUAUCAUCAUCGUCAUUGGUCUGUCAUACACUGUGCUCAGGAGAUCUGAGAGGUUCCAGCUCUGUUUCAGGGGAAAAGACCGUGAGGAUGACAUCACCACAAUGGUGACAAAGGAUUAA
rnacentral:lncRNA from 1 species